rnacentral:antisense_RNA from 1 species
CUUCACCGACCCCAGCCACAGCGGCUCGGCCCGCUCCUGGCCGUACGUGGCGAGGAUCGCCUGCGCCUC